UCUGAGCCUCAACUGAAAAAAAUAAAUGAAAAGAGACUGUCCAAUACAUACCAGGCGCAAUAUAGCGUUACCUUACCUUGAAAGCUGUGUCAAAAACUUAAAAACUACAUAUUCCCAAGGUACACAGAAGAUUACACACACAAUAAUGGAAAAUUCUAGCUCAUCAAACAAAACCCUAAUUUCAGAAAUGUUGAAAGGAGAAGAGAAGAACAAAUCUACGAUAUCGUUAUCGUAUAUCGCUUAUCAUUUUGGUUCAAGUGGAAUGGCUGUUACUACCGCAACAGGCUUUACUCAUCCGCUAGAUGUUCUCAAAGUUAGACUGCAAAUGCAGCUUGUCGGCCAGAAAGCUCCCUUAACCGGAUUGGGAAAGAUCUGUUCUCAAAUGGUGAAAAGUGAAGGGCCUACUGCGCUGUAUCUUGGAUUGACACCUGCACUGACCAGAUCAGUGCUAUAUGGAGGUCUGCGAUUGGGUUUGUAUGAACCAUCCAAGUAUGUUUGUGAAUGGGCUGUUGGAUCCUCCAAUGUCUUGGUGAAAAUUGCAUCUGGUGCAUUCUCUGGUGCCAUUGCAACUGCACUGACCAAUCCAACCGAAGUGUUAAAGGUACGACUACAGAUGAACCACGAUUCAGGAAGAGGAGCAAUCACAGAAAUGCGAAAAAUUGUUUCAGAAGAAGGAUUACGCGCUCUAUGGAAAGGGGUUGGCCCUGCUAUGGCCAGAGCUGCUGCUCUUACUUCAUCACAGCUAGCAACUUACGAUGAAGCCAAGCAGGCUUUGAUUCGGUGGACACCUCUAGAAGAAGGAUUUAAUCUGCAUCUCAUUUUCUUUUUCAGGAGUAUUAACUCUACAUAUUUAUGCGUAGUGAAGCUCAAGUACCAUAGCAGGAACCGUAAGCACUCUUGUUACUGCACCUGUGGACAUGAUUAAAACUCGUCUCAUGUUACAAAGAGAUUCUAAAUCCACAGGAAGCUACAGAAAUGGAUUUCACUGCGCAUACCAGGUUAUGAGUACAGAAGGCCCUCGCGCCCUAUAUAAAGGGGGCUUUGCAAUGUUUGCGAGAUUAGGCCCGCAAACCACGAUCACGUUCAUUCUUUGUGAGAAGUUGCGAGAACUUGCUGGACUAAAGGCUAUUUGACACCCAAGGUUCCACCCAUUCUAAAUUUAUGCUUAUUUGUCAUUUAAGAACAACCUAGCCUACACGUUUCCAGUUACAUUUCCACAGAGGAAGGAAUUAGUUUUUGAUAUUGAAUGGCUUCAAGUGCCAAUGAAAGAAAUUACCCUUCUAUAUAGCAUAAAAUAGGUAUAUUUUUAUUCCAUAUUUUUAUGGAAUGAACAUUUCAUUCAAGGGGAUCAAAACAUUGCCAUCCCUACACUUACUUUGUUCACUAAAUUUGUUGUAACAUAAAGUUGUAAACACGAUGAAGGGAAUUUUGGUCUUGAUCAUUGUUGAUUCUGAUACAUUCUCAUCACAUUACAAGUGCAUUACAGAAUCGAAAUAAAACUUUAAA